UGCACAUAAUAAUAAACAUUCACACAUAUAUUUUUAUAUAUAUACACAUACACACAGUUUACAUGUAUAUACUUACGUAUAUACAUACAGAAUAUUAACCCAAAUCUUACCUAAAGUUUGAUCAGAAAAAGGAGUUGAGAUCAUUAGUGGAUUCGGGUCUAAGGUUUUCUCCAAAUCCUAGCUACCCUUCGGAUAAUUUUUUGGUUUUAAAAAUAGAAAAUAUAUGAAUAAAACGACUAACAAUUUCAGAAUUAAACACAAUAUGAAAGGAAGAAUUGUUUUUUACCUUGGACAUGUGGUCCUAGUCGCUGGAGUCACUGCGUGUCACCACACGCACGUCACCGAGAUCACCACACGCCACCACACACAUCAUCACUAGGAUCACCACGCGGCGCCACAUGCGUCGUCACCGGGAUCACCACGCACCGCCAAAUUUGAACGAAAAUCACAGAGAACUAUGGUGAGUUCAGAUCCGGAAUUGAUCUCGUGAAAUAUCGCCGAAAAUUGCUAAGAUCUAGUUUUCAUGCAUCCGACCAUUGUGGAUCCUCUUCCUCGGAUAGAUUCAUCGCAUGUCCCCCCCUUUCCGACUUCUGCACGACCGUCUGGCCUCAUGGUCGCGCGCCAAAGGGAGCUGCAACAACCGACCACAUCUUCUCUGCCGCGCGAUUCCUUUUCUCCAAGUCGUGCAUAACCUCCUUCUGUCGCGGAUCUGCUCAAGUCGUUUGCCCUCCCUUUCCGACUUCUACACGACCUUCUGGCCUCAUGGUCGUGCGCCAAAGGGAGCUGCAACAACCGAUCACAUCUUCUCUGCCGCGCGAUUCCUUUUCUCCAAGCCGUGCAUAACCUCCUUCUGUCGCGGAUCUGCUCAGGUCGUUCGUCGCACCGAUCUUGCUGAGAAAUCAAAACUUUCAGAAUUUAUAGGUUGGCCCCUCUUUGAAGAUUUUAUUAUUUAAGUCCUUUUUAUUUUAUAGAGGGCCCCCAAUUUUAAAUUUUUUCUUCAUUUAAGACCCUAAACCCCUAAUUUAUAAUUUUUCGUGUUUAAUUUAAUUUUUUUAAUUUUCUUCGGGUUUAUUAAUCAAUUGUCUAUAGGCGAGCGUUGUACUAUCAACAUAAAAAUAAAUUGCUUGACAAAGGAGUACUAAC
rnacentral:lncRNA from 1 species